UGCUGCGGUUGCUCUGCAAAGGCACUAACAGGGAAUCCGGUGCAAGACCGGAACAGCUCACUCUACCGUGAACGGCUACGAAAGCACAUAAUGUCACUGAGCAUUCAGCUUGGGAAGGCGUGUAAGUAGGCUAUAAACCGCAAGUCGGGAGACCUGACGCAUAUU
rnacentral:ncRNA from 1 species